GGGGCGGUGGGCAGAGCGUGAGCACGGGGGGCAGAGGGGCCGGGGGGGGAGCGAGUAUUGAACUGUACCUUGUAUUUGCACUGUUUUUAUUGCAUUGGCAUCUCGACAAUAUACAGCUCCAACGACCUGCUCCUGCCUGCGCCUCCUUCUCGCUGCGCCCGCGGGGGGACAGACUGCCCCGGGAACGGGCAGACACACACGGACAGACUGCCCCGGAAACAGGCAGACACACACGGACAAACAGACACUCACGGGACAGACUGCCCCGGGAACAGGCAGACACACACGGACAGACAGACUGCCCCAGGAACAGGCAUGGGACACACACACACACACGUGGAGCCGACAGACACACGUGGAGCAGGCAGGCACACAUGGAAAACACAGGCACAGCCUCAGAGAACAGGCAGACACACAAGACAUGGGACAGACAGACCCAGAGAACAGACCCACCAAGACCGACAGACAGCCCCACACAGACAGCCUCAGACCCACGAACCCAGACUGACCCACAGACACAGACCUGCAGAGAACAGACAGCCCCACAAACAGCCCCAGAGAGCAGACAGCCCCACAGAGACCCCACGGACAGCCCCAGAGAGCAGACAGCCCCCGUUGCCAGCCGCUCUCCCAUCCCGCUCCUGGCCCAAGCCCACAGCUGCAGCUCUGCUCCACAGGGUCCAGCCCCAGCCCACAGGUUUUGGGCCAAAUGUGCAGAGGUUCAGGCAAACUGCACAAGUGCAGCCCAGGCCUGCCCUGCAGGAUUGCUUUAGGCUCAUUUCUCAGGGUUUCAGUCCUGACUUGCAGGAUUUCACCCAAACUGCAGCAUUUCAGGCCAAGUUUGCAGAUGAGCAGGAUUUUAGACCAAAUUUACGGAAUUUUAGUGCAGAUUUAAGGAUUCUAGUCCUAACCAACAAUUCCAGACCAGAUUUACAGGAUUCCAGUGCCAGCUCACAGGAUUUGAUCCAGUUUGAGCAUUUCAGGCCAAGUUUGCAGAGCUUCAGCCUCCAUGUGCAGGAUUUCAGGCCAAGGCUAUAGGGCAGCUGAACACCCUCCACCCCCCCCAAAGGUCCUUUAAGGUGCACAGCUCCUCAUCCCCUUCUGCCCCCCAAGUCCCCAGAUCACUGUCCCCUUCCCCCUCCACUGCUGCCUGCACCCCCAGCCCUGUUAGGUGUCUCCCUCUUUUUUAUUGGGAAGGGGCCAAAUAUUCCCCCCCCAACCCUGAAAACUGGUGAGUGGAAGCCACAAGCGAGCCCCAAGCUCCACCCUCCUGCCAGAAAGGGGUGCAGGGGAGGGGUGGGGGCACAGCUGAGUUGCCACAGGCCGGGGUGGAGGAGGGAGGAGAUGGGAAAUGGAAUUUUUGCACAGAUUAUAAUUUUGAAGGUAUUUUGGGGCUUUAUUUUGUUAUUUUUUGGGGUCUCUUGCAAUGAUUUUUGGAGCAGUUUGAGGCCAAAGCAAGGUCAGGAACAGGUAAAAGCUGAUUGCUGGGGGGGGAAUCUUUGUCCUUUUUGGGUUUUUUUUGAGAAAUGAACACAAAACGACCCAAGGAAGGUGCAGCAAAGCAGAGGACUCUUUAUACUGUUUCUCACUCGCAAGUGCUGGUCAAUAAAGAAACAAAAAAACUUUCUAAUC